rnacentral:rRNA from 1 species
CCUACGGGAGGCAGCAGUGGGGGAUAUUGCACAAUGGGGGAAACCCUGAUGCAGCGACGCCGCGUGUGGGAAGACGGUCCUCUGGAUUGUAAACCACUGUCCCCAGGGACGAAGAUGACGGUACCGGGGGAGGAAGCUCCGGCUAACUACGUGCCAGCAGCCGCGGUAAUACGUAGGGAGCGAGCGUUGUCCGGAAUUACUGGGUGUAAAGGGAGCGUAGGCGGGACUGCAAGUUGGGUGUCAAAUCUACCGGCUCAACCGGUAGCCGCACUCGAAACUGCAGUUCUUGAGUGAAGUAGAGGCAGGCGGAAUUCCUAGUGUAGCGGUGAAAUGCGUAGAUAUUAGGAGGAACACCAGUGGCGAAGGCGGCCUGCUGGGCUUUUACUGACGCUGAGGCUCGAAAGUGUGGGGAGCAAACAGGAUUAGAUACCCGGGUAGUC